rnacentral:rRNA from 1 species
GAAGACAUGAAGUUAGGUCAACAAACCCGCUGAAUUUAAGCAUAUAAGUAAGCGGAGGAAAAGAAACUAAAUAGGAUUCCCUUAGUAAUGGCGAAUGAACAGGGAUGAGCUCAGUAUGGAAAUCGGGGCCUGUGGCUUCGAAUUGUAGUCUGGAGAUGUACCACCAACUGGGGCGCAGAUGUAAGCCUCUUGGAAAAGAGCAUCAAUGAGGGUGAGAGUCCCGCUUGGCAUCUGCAGUCCCCAGUGUACGGUGUACCUUCUUAGAGUCACGUUCCUCGGGAUUGGAGCGCAAAUCGGGUGGUAAGUUUCAUCUAAAGCUAAAUAUUGUUUCGAGACCGAUAGCAAACAAGUACCAUGAGGGAAAGGUGAAAAGGACUUUGAAAAGAGAGUUAAAAGUGCCUGAAAUUGCUGAAAGGGAAGCGAAUGGGACCAGUGUAUCUUGGUGAGAUUGCUGCGUGUCAAUGUGAUUGCUUGCUGCUUCAACAUAAGUGUGGUAGUAAGUCUUGAGCAGGACAUGUGUGGUGCUUCUUGCCUUGUGUGUCACCUUCAGUUCGCAGCUGGGGAAAACUUCAGGGACAUGGUAGCCUGUCUCCGGGUGGGUGAAUGUGUCUGUUGGAACUCAUKUGYGGAUUGCUUGGUGACUAAAUGGUUCCAUCUGACCCGUC